AGUGAACGCUGGCGGUAGGCCUAACACAUGCAAGUCGAACGGCAGCACAGUAAGAGUUUGCUCUUACGGGUGGCGAGUGGCGGACGGGUGAGGAAUACAUCGGAAUCUACUUUUUCGUGGGGGAUAACGUAGGGAAACUUACGCUAAUACCGCAUACGACCUACGGGUGAAAGCAGGGGAUCUUCGGACCUUGCGCGAUUGAAUGAGCCGAUGUCGGAUUAGCUAGUUGGCGGGGUAAAGGCCCACCAAGGCGACGAUCCGUAGCUGGUCUGAGAGGAUGAUCGGCCACACUGGAACUGGGACACGGUCCAGACUCCUACGGGAGGCAGCAGUGGGGAAUAUUGGACAAUGGGCGCAAGCCUGAUCCAGCCAUACCGCGUGGGUGAAGAAGGCCUUCGGGUUGUAAAGCCCUUUUGUUGGGAAAGAAAAGCAGCAGGUUAAUACCCCGCUGUUCUGACGGUACCCAAAGAAUAAGCACCGGCUAACUUCGUG
rnacentral:rRNA from 1 species